GGCAUCUGAAAAUCCCUUUAAUAAUGAUUGUUACUAUUAACUAACCUAACAUGUGAAUUAAUGAGCUGAUAAACUAAUCACCGACCAACCAAAAUUCCAACCAUGCUUUUAAUUUGGAUUUCAAGCUAACUGAAUCAACACUCUUGAAGACAACUCAUGUAAUUUGAUAUUGUUUAGGAAAAGCACAGUCCAGCAGUCUAUAUUUAACGUUAUGAAUUCACAUAAGGAAUUGAACUACAUUAAUACUAUACUAAUACUGAUAUAAAGAAGGACAGUUCUAGUUUAAACGUCCAAACAGUCACAAACAGUCGGAGUGUGCCCAAUUUAAUUACAACAAACUAUGAUGAGGCAUCGAAACACAUAAAACUACAAUAGAAUCAUGCUUCAAUCUUUAUUUCAUUUUCAGAAUUGAGAAUUACACAGCGUGUACCUGGAGUUUGAGUCAAAAGAAAAAGAAGGAGAAGUCAGUAGCAGUCAACAAGUGAUCAAAUGCACCCAGAAAUAUUUCAGCAAACCAGAAGUGUUUUAAAACCAAGCAUAACUAACAGAUCUAUCCAAAACAGCACCAAACAAACCAGAAAUGAACCCAUCACGUCAUCACGAUUAGUAAAUAUCCAACAAAAAAAAGAACUAGUCAGAUCCCAUGCACAAAUGACUCGAACUGCUUUUAAACUUUAAUAUCGAACAGAAACAGAGAACUUCAAGCUAUUUUCUGAUCCUAAAUGAGCUAGAGAAUUGAAUUAAGGACUGAGAUCUGAAAGUGACUUAAGGAACACUAAUAUAACAAUAAUUUUUGGAUUUUCUAUUGCGUUUGUGUAUUUUUUUUUAGAUUUUUAGAUGAAGAGAGAGUUUCGAAUUUUAGAUCUGGUGUUCUAAUCUGAAAUUCAACUUUUAGUUUUGGUGGAGACUUAGGGGAUCUUUGGGGGGAAUUUUUAGAUGUGAAAAACUUCCUCAUCAAGGCAUGCAGACUGCCCUUUUAUAGGCACACAUGAGGCUCUAUCAGAUUUUCAUACUUUGCAUAUUAUCCUUCUUUUAUUUAUUCAGUUUCACUCAUUUAGGCCCUUACUUUCUAACUUGUGUCUCAAGUUACUAUCCUAAAUUUACUAAAAUCUGAACUAAGCCCUAUUCUAGAAGGAUCUAGUAAAUUUUAGUUUAUGUUUCUAUUUAUGGAUUACCUAUAUUAACCCCAUCUUAUUCUGAAAUUUACUAGACUAAAAUAACCCUCUUAACCUAUUCCAGAUAAUCAACUAUCAACCAAGCAGACCUUAAAUCACCCAAAACAAACUUAAUUAAUCAGAAAAAGUAGAACUAUUAAAAACAAAAAAGUAAUACUAAAGUGAAGAACAAUUAUACUAAACUAAAGAAGAUCUUAAAACAAAUUUAACCAAAACAAAAAUUAGACUAACAGAAUCAAAACAGAGAUUAUCAUCUAUACUUUAAAAAAACAGAACAAAGGGUAGAACACGUACUGAGUUAUGGCUAAUAAUCAAAAACAAAACAAUUAAACCUCUAUUGUUUUUGUUUUACAGCUGUUUUUCCUUUUAUCCUAUGCGCCCAGGGUCGAUUGGAAACAACCUCUCUACCCGAAAGGGUAGGGGUAAGACUCUUCUACAUAUUACCCUCCCCAGAUCCCACCUGGUGGGAGUAUACUGCCCAGAUCCCACCUGGUGGGAGUAUACUGGGUAGUAGUUGUUAUUGUUGUAAAACAAUUAAACCUAUAACCUAAACUUAGACUGAGAUGGAUUAAUUCAAGUGACCAAUUAUUAUGACUCAGAAUGAACCAAAUAAGCACAAAAAAUAUAGAAAACAAACAAAAUUGGACUCCAACUAAUUUAAAACAACUAAUUAAUUACAAGGAAAUACAAAGGAAAAACUCACCGCUGUUUUCAUAUUCAAAAAUUGGACAACUCCAGUAAUAUUUGAGUGUUAUUGACCGUGGAUUCUUCAUGAGGAGAGUGAGGAGGCCCUCUGGCAUUGAUUUGAUAAAUUUUGGAAAAAUAGGGUUUUGGUCCGAAAACUUCAAACUAAUAUUGGAGCAGUUAUGGACAGAUUCGAGGGAAACUGGUUGAGGGUUUAGGAAGAGGAGGUGAGAGGGAUGUAUGGUGUAAAUUUGAGGCGGUUUGGAGACCUUUGGGUUUUGGCCGGAAAACUUCGAUCCAAUAUUCGACAAGUUUAGGUGGUGUUUGGGGACUCGCCGCCGCCGUGAGGCGAAUUCCGACGGCGAUUCACGGCGGCAUUACGUUAGGGUUUGUGAGGGGUAUGGAGACGGUGAUAGAAGGGGGGAGCGUAGUUCAAUC
rnacentral:lncRNA from 1 species